CAAGAAUUGCUUAACUAUUCUUGGCCCUUUGUGGUUUCAUGUAAAUUUAGUACCAGAUUUUCAUUUUGGGUGUGUGAAUCCCGAAUAUCUGGGACAGAGCUCAGUUAAUUUAGAAAGUUUAUUUUGCCGAUGUUGAGGACAGACGCUCAUGACACAGCCUCAGAAGGUCCUGAUGACUUGUGGCUAAGAUGAUCAGGGCACAGCUUGGUUUUAUACAUUUUAGGAAGACAUGAGACAUCAAUCAAUAUAUGUAAGAUAUACAUUGGUAUCAACCAGAAAGGUAUUUCCUAUAUCUUCCUGUCUUUUCCAUGGCCAAAAAUGAUCAAGUAAAGAACAUUAAAGAAGAAAUAAAUUACUACAUAUUAAAAAAUACAUACUGUAAGAUGUUCUUUGUACAAAAAUGUGACAACUUCAAUAAGAGUAACUUGGACAACCUGAGGCAUUAAUUGAGGAUCAAUAUGAUGACUUUACAUUGAGAAUCACAUAUACCCUCUGAAUAAAUUUAAAAAAUGAAAUUUUUUAAUUUUCAUUAAAAAUUAAAUUUUUUUGAGUGAUGAAAAUACUCAAUCACAUUAUUUUCAAAUUGUUGAUAAGCAUGGAAAUUAUCAGAGAACCAGAAUAUUCAAGGUUUAUCUUUCCUGUUUUUGUCUUAAAUCACAACUAUGUGUUAAAUAAUUUGUAUGACCUAUUUCAGUGGCAGUAGGUUAAAUAAAAUUCUGUUUGUAUCUCCUGUUUUUUGUUUUAAAUUUAUUAUUAUUAUGCUUUAAGUUUUAGGGUACAUGUGCACAAUGUGCAGCUUAGUUACAUAUGUAUACAUGUACCAUGCUGGUGCGCUGCACCCACUAACUUGUCACACACGUAAUGUAUCUCCUGUUUUUGUGCUUCUCAAAUUGAAGUCACUGAAUCCUCAAGAAUUCAU
rnacentral:lncRNA from 1 species